rnacentral:rRNA from 1 species
GAUGAACGCUGGCGGCGUGCCUAAUACAUGCAAGUCGAGCGAACAGAUGAGGAGCUUGCUCCUCUGACGUUAGCGGCGGACGGGUGAGUAACACGUGGAUAACCUACCUAUAAGACUGGGAUAACUUCGGGAAACCGGAGCUAAUACCGGAUAAUAUAUUGAACCGCAUGGUUCAAUAGUGAAAGACGGUUUUGCUGUCACUUAUAGAUGGAUCCGCGCCGCAUUAGCUAGUUGGUAAGGUAACGGCUUACCAAGGCAACGAUGCGUAGCCGACCUGAGAGGGUGAUCGGCCACACUGGAACUGAGACACGGUCCAGACUCCUACGGGAGGCAGCAGUAAGGAAUCUUCCGCAAUGGGCGAAAGCCUGACGGAGCAACGCCGCGUGAGUGAUGAAGGUCUUCGGAUCGUAAAACUCUGUUAUUAGGGAAGAACAAAUGUGUAAGUAACUAUGCACGUCUUGACGGUACCUAAUCAGAAAGCCACGGCUAACUACGUG